rnacentral:pre_miRNA from 1 species
UGAUUGUCCAAACGCAAUUCUUGUCUGUGUGCCCGAGAGUUGAGUGUGGACAUCACG